AGAGAUGUCAGUGCCAGCAUCAUCCAGGGUGUGUGACUGGUUGACCAGAGGGCUGUAUUUUCUCCACCUGUGGGCCACCUAGUCACCAGCCCUCAGUGUCCAUAUACCCCAGGAAGACCG
rnacentral:pre_miRNA from 15 species